GCUGGCGGCAGGCUUAACACAUGCAAGUCGAGCGGUCGUAGCAAUACGGCAGCGGCAGACGGGAGAGUAACACGUGGGAACGUACCCUUCGGUUCGGAACAACCCAGGGAAACUUGGGCUAAUACCGGAUACGUCCGUAAGGAGAAAGAUUCAUCGCCGAAGGAUCGGCCCGCGUCUGAUUAGCUUGUUGGUGAGGUAACGGCUCACCAAGGCGACGAUCAGUAGCUGGUCUGAGAGGAUGAUCAGCCUCACUGGGACUGAGACACGGCCCAGACUCCUACGGGAGGCAGCAGUGGGGAAUAUUGGACAAUGGGCGCAAGCCUGAUCCAGCCAUGCCGCGUGGGUGAUGAAGGCCCUAGGGUUGUAAAGCCCUUUCGGCGGGGAAGAUAAUGACGGUACCCGCAGAAGAAGCCCCGGCUAACUUCGUGCCAGCAGCC
rnacentral:rRNA from 1 species